UUCCACAGACCACCCCAUCCCUCCCCUCCCCUCCGGCUGUCCGUGUCCUCCCUCCUAGAGAUCUCAGAGCUGCGGCUGAAGACCUGCGGCUGGAGACCUGCGUGGCGUGUCGCGUCUCCACCCGUCCGGUGCCGGUGCCGUAUCCUUCCCCCAAAGCCUCACAACCCCGCCCCACCCGCAAGAUCCCGCUGCUGCCUGGACCGGUGACCAUGGCCGGGUUUUCCCAGUGCGGCGGAGACACCAGGUGUGCUAGAUUGUAACGGGGAUCCCCCCACCCAUCUCCGAGAACAGCCUCGUCCAUGGAUCGGCCCCCUCUUCGGACCUCGACACACCACAGCGCUCGUGACUGUUAGCUGGCCGAGUUCCCAAAAGAAGAUCGCUUCAGGCUUCUCCAUAGCACGGAAUCGUCGUUGCUGACCCCCUAACC